rnacentral:rRNA from 1 species
GAUGAACGCUGGCGGCGUGCCUAAUACAUGCAAGUCGAGCGAACAGACGAGGAGCUUGCUCCUCUGACGUUAGCGGCGGACGGGUGAGUAACACGUGGAUAACCUACCUAUAAGACUGGGAUAACUUCGGGAAACCGGAGCUAAUACCGGAUAAUAUAUUGAACCGCAUGGUUCAAUAGUGAAAGACGGUUUUGCUGUCACUUAUAGAUGGAUCCGCGCCGCAUUAGCUAGUUGGUAAGGUAACGGCUUACCAAGGCAACGAUGCGUAGCCGACCUGAGAGGGUGAUCGGCCACACAGGAACUGAGACACGGUCCAGACUCCUACGGGAGGCAGCAGUAGGGAAUCUUCCGCAAUGGGCGAAAGCUUGACGGAGCAACGCCGCGUGAGUGAUGAAGGUCUUCGGAUCGUAAAACUCUGUUAUUAGGGAAGAACAAAUGUGUAAGUAACUAUGCACGUCUUGACGGUACCUAAUCAGAAAGCCACGGCUAACUACGUG